CGUGUGUGGCAACGGCAGAUGCAUCCACAAGCGUUAUGAAUGCGACGGCUAUUACAACAACUGCGGGGACUGGAGUGAUGAGAAGCAUUGCGUGUGCCGCGCUGAUAAGUUCAAGUGCGCCAACACCGGCCGCUGCAUAGACGAGACGUAUCGGUGCGACGGACGCAACCUCUGUGGCGACGACAGCGACGAGCGCGACUGCUGCACCGGCGACCAUUUCGUGUGUGGCAACGGCAGAUGCAUCCACAAGCGUUGGGAAUGCGACGGCUGGUACAACCAGUGCGGGGACUGGAGUGAUGAGAAGCAUU
rnacentral:lncRNA from 1 species